rnacentral:rRNA from 1 species
UAAAAGCUACCCUGGGGAUAACAGGCUUAUCUCCCCCAAGAGUCCACAUCGACGGGGAGGUUUGGCCCCUCGAUGUCGGCUCAUCACAUCCUGGGGCUGUAGUAGGUCCCAAGGGUUGGGCUGUUCGCCCAUUAAAGUGGUCCGCGAGCUGGGUUCAGAACGUCGUGAGACAGUUCGGUCCCUAUCCGUCGCAGGCGUAGGAAAUUUGAGAAGACCUGUCCUUAGUACGAGAGGACCGGGA